AAAACAACUUUCAAUGGUUAAUAAUUUAAAUCACUGUUAAUAUUUUGUUUUUUAGUUGCUUUAAAUAAUUAAUUUCCAUAUUUGAUUAGUGUGUCAUUCUAUUUAAUCCAAGUUCCAAAAGAUUUUGUCUUUCAAUCGUAAAAAUGUAUCCUCAUAAUUCCGGUUCUCUAUCAAAGAUAAAAUGUAAUUAAGUUAUUGAAUGAAACUGAAUUUAGUUAUCAGCUUAUUAAUAAUUCAAUAUGUGUUUCGUUGAAAAUUGUGAUUGAAAUGUUAAUUAACUUUCACCUUGAUUGUCUCGUCUUUGAGACAGCUUGUUCUUUCUUCCUUGGAUGUGUUAAUGUUGUCGUAUUAUCAUGGAUCCGAAGGUAACCAGGUUGAGAUUAUCGGAAAGGACAGUAUUAAAAAAUGGAAAUAAAUCAUCAAGAUAAGUCAAUCUCCAGUUUAAGCUAAUUACAUGGUUUAGUCUAAUUUCUAAAAGGUAGCUGCAGUUUAUUUCAAUGGAACAGUUUAUCUUCUUCCAAAACCACCGAAGCCACCGAAGCCUCCAAAGCCACCCAUCAUCAUUGGAUAAGGCAUGUAACCACCACCACCACCACCUUGACCAUGACCGCCAAGGAUAACAAUGGAACCACCACCUUUGUCACCAUAAGCAUUAGCAGAGUCUAAAAAUUGGCAAAGUAAAAUACGACAAGUUAAAUGGUUUUCAAUCGCUGGUCAGGAGAAAAGAAAUGGUUUACUUACCGAAGAAAGCAACGAGAGCGAGGAGGACAAUUCCGAAGAAAACUGAUGAAAACUUGGCGAUCAUAUUGAAUGGAGUUGGUUGGUUGAUGCUGAAUACACAACUUAAAGGAAUAAAGAAUUGGAUUGUUUGGUUGAUGAAAGUGAACUGAUAUCUGAUCAAUGCGACUCAAGGGUUUAUAUAGUCAAAUUUGGAGGUAUAUUGGUAAUUACUUGACUGGUCAACCAUAUAUUAAUUAUAUGAAACCAUUUACUUUAGGCUUAUCACCAGAUAUUAUAUUUUGCGUUCAAAAUAAGAUACACUUGAGUGGUUUGAAGUAAGAUGCUGGGCUAAUGGUGUUGAUUAAAAUAAAUAAUGAUGAAGAUUGGUUGCGAAACGUAAUUCCAAUUCAUUUAAUAAAAUUGCCUAAUUUUAUUCUGUUUUAAUUAAGCUGCUGCAACCACAAGAUUCAGGAUAUUCAAAGGAGAUUUGCUGACUUUUCAUUCUAUUAUUAAUAUUGAUUGGAUAGAUCAAUUAUUCAAUUAUUAUUUCAUAACCAAAUUCUUUCCGGAAUCAUCCCUUUUCUUGAUUCUCAUUGAUUAACCUAUCAUUAUCAUUAUCUUAGUUUCAUGUUUCUCUCUAAAAGUAGAUGAAACAUUUGUUUGAUAAAGUCAACCAUCACUUUCACCAUCAUCUGUGACCUGAAUGAGCAUUGAUAAUUAAUUUUCACUUCAACCUUCAUUCUUGCCAGAUUAACUUAGUGAAUAAAUGUUUUAGCCUUUGGCACCAAAUAAAAUUGGAGCAGCCUUGAAGAUUCAUGGAUCAUGAUGAACACCAAAUGAAAAUUUUGUCUCCUCUUCUUCAUUUCGCAUAUUAAGAUGAUUAAAUUGUAAAUAUUUUCAAAGCAAAAAGGGAAACAUAAGUAUAAAUAUAUUCAAGACAGUGAAAGAAAUGAAAGACUCAGGAUAAGCUUUAACACCAAUGAACAUCAUUUACUCAGCCAAUUAACCAAAUAACUGAGAAACUCAAAUCAAAACUGAUUUAAGAGUAAAUAACAGUUUUUGUUCAUCAAGGUUCGUUACCAAUUUUUACUUGUAAUCUUGUCAACUUUAGUUGCUAUGAAAAAAUAUUUAGUCAUCGAUUUGCUUCCAACAGCUCAAAUAUCUGACAGUAAAAAUCACCUCCAACACCAACAACAUCAUCAACCUAAACCUACCAAUUGGUAAUUUAAUUAUAGCACAAUUUUAAUAUUUAUUAUCAACAAAAUUGAAAUAACGAGAAGUCUAUAUUUUCAUGGUUAAACUAAUUUAAUCCGCAAAAAUUGCUUAAUACAGAUUAACGACAAUCUCAAUGACAUUUUCCCAAUAGACUCAUCCAACUAGGAAGCCAAGCUUUGUAAUCAAAAAAGAUCCUAUUAACAAAUCAAUAAAUUAUCCAAAUUGUGAAUUCACCUUUAAGGCUUGAAUAUUGAUUGUUCACACUGGAGUGAUAAUGUUCAAUCCAUGAUAAAUCAAGGAUGAUCUGAGAACAGUUUGAUCAAGGCGAAAUGAUUACGAUACAAGGGAAACUGUUAACUAUUGAAGCCAAGCUGAUUUGCCAUCGAGACUGUUAAUUGUUACGGAAGUAAAAAGCUAAUGAUGAAAAGCAAAAAUUGGGCAAAGAUAGAGACUGAUAUUCAGAAGACACAAUGCCAAGUUCGUUCCCCCCGGAGUUUAUUUUUCAAUAAUGGUGAUGAUCCUCAUGAUAAGAGUUAUCUGUUUGAGACGAUUUUUUGGUUCAAUUUUUACCGGCAGACGAAAUCGAGGGAAACUAUGAUUACUUUUGUUUGUUGUUGUCACUUGUGGUUAAAAUGAUGAAGAUGAGUUAUCAAGCUUUUCUGGUUAACCGGAAAAUAUGUAAACUGUGUGAAAAAAGUGCAUAUUUUUCAUGACAGAAUAGGGUUUAAAAAGCAUUAAAUUGAACGCCAUUUGAUGAGUUUUCUUGGCAAUGUUGCUGGUCGCUUAGGUUUGCAUUUACAACUUGGAUCUCUGUAUAAAUUCAACUUGCAAGAGAUGCAGCUUUUGUAUUUCAUUUUAAUUGUAUUUAUUCAUCAUAUUUGACUCUUAAUCUGUCUAGCAUUUCUCUUAUCAUCAUCAUCACCAUCAACAUCAUCUUUCUGGAUCCAAUGGUGAAGACAAUGUACUUUGUGAAUUGUGAAAUAAGGAAAUGUAAAAGGUAAAAAAGUCAGACUUGUGAAUGAUUAAAAUGUGAUUUUCAAGCCUUUUAUUUGAUUGAACAUUUGGCAAUGGUUAGACUAGAUUUAAACACAUAGAAUCACAUUUUUAUUGAAACAAUGUUUUACUCAUUUCAACCUAAUCUAUCAUCGUUAUUGAUCAUCAUCAUUGUAAUUGUCUUGUUUCUAUUAAUCCAUCAUUCAUCUUGUUUAAUUAGAUUACCAAUUCAUUAAGCAUAAUUAAAUAAUAAAUAACCAGUUAGCCUGAGGUACUUUUACCCUCAACAACCAGAUUAA